AACGAUAACGAUACCAACAACAAUGGCGUUGACGAGUCGAGCCCUUUUCUCACCAAGCAAGUUGAUGGAGCUGCCGAGAAAAAUUCCAAAAACCCUCAAAGAAUUCUUUGCUUGAGGUCCUGCUCUUCUAUAUCCAUGGAGGUGGUUGGUUCUUCUUCGUCUUCUUUUGCAACGCAUACUCAUACCAGAUUCGCAUGAUCGAAAAGGCCCUCCGAUUUGCUGGCAUCGAUUCUAAGGAAUGAGAAGAAGCAGUUUGUGGAUGUGGGAUGUGGAAUUGGAGGGAGCUCUCGAUAUCUGGCAACCAAAUUUGAUUCAAAAUGGCAGGGCAUCACCAUCAGUCCAAGCUCAAAGGUCCAAUUCUCUCGCAUCUGCUCAAGAAUUGGCCAAUAAGGUUUCCCUUUCUCUCUCUUUAAUUUUGUUGGUUACUCAACCAAAUAUGAAAUAUAGAAUUGUUGAUGGAGUUUGAGUGAUUGAAAAACUUUCAUUUGAGGCACAGCACAUACACAAUUGAUGAUAUGACCUUAAAACUACUAAUAACGAGAAACAACAAGAAUCCCUUUGUGUUUGACUUUCUGUAGGGUCUUAUGCAUCAAUAGAAUGUUCAUUCCGACAUUCUUCGUUUAUAAGUUUCCCAUGACUACAAACAAGAGUAAAUGAUAAGAUAUAUGUACUUUUUAUAUAUAUACGUUAGUAUAGCUUCAUUACCUUAUGUCCUUCUUUGCUACCUUUCCCACUGAUCUUAUGGGAACAAAUAGUAGGCUUUUCCCACACCAAAUACAUUUUUGAAUGGUUAAUAGUUAGUACUAGUUUGUGAUUAUAUGCUUCUGUUAUGACCACUGAUGAUAUGACCAGUGACCAUGUUUCACAAUUUUAUAUAUAAUAAUUACAAUCAGUAUGAUGAACGCACACAAGUAUGAAGUAUCAUUGGUUGGUGUUUAAGUAAGAUUGGAUAGUGGGAAUGAUAGCAGGUAUCAAUGUUUUGUGUGGAUAUAAUUGCUUCUCAAUGUUUUCUCAAGUUGAUGAUUGUGAUUGACCGGUUUCUAAUUCUGAGUGUAUCAGAAAAGUUUCAAUCACUGAUUUUAGGAGGGACGUUUUGAUAAAUAGCAGAGAAGCAUUAUUGACAAAUAUGUAUAGAUAUGAUAUGUCUUCACUGAUGUGCAUUAUAUAAUUUUGAUACAUUUAAAUAAUAUUUGGAAGGUGCACCCUUAUUUCGAUGCAUACAUGCUAUAAGUGUUUGGAAUGCCUUUCUAAUGUUUAUGACUUAAACUUUAGUCUGCCUUUCGUUUAUGUAGUUAUAUAUACAUACUAUGUAUGACUCCUUUGAUAAGGUUGUAGGAUUGGCAUUGAAGGUUAUAUUAAGUAUAUUUUUGGAAAGGUGGGUCUUCAAUUUUCGAGUAAAAUAUUUUCAAUUAACUUUUUAUCACUAUUUUCGUUGUUGUUUUGGUUUGGUAUUUACUGCUUUGUGUAGCAAAGAUUCUUAUCAAAACAUAUUGAAAGAUGUUUAUCUUUCUUCACCACAUUCACUUAUCUAAAUACGGGAUCUUGUUUUACUUGUCUUGCAAGAGUAUGAGGCCACAUCAGCUAAUUGGUUAUAUGCAUAUAAUGACUCAUGAUUGAUCACUUUGGUGUGUAGUGUAUAUGCUCAUACUGUUGAAUAAAGUUGAGAGUGGCAUAUCAAAAGUUGUCUAAAACGUUGGGAUAUAUCUUAUUCAGGCUAUGGGAGAGGCUCAUUGGUUUAUUAUUGACAUUUCAACUGUUUAGUGAUAUGGCAAUGGGUGCUAUUUGAUACAAAUGAAGAUAACUAAUUAGCAUUUUUUGCAAUGUUUGCAACUCAUGCUUCAAAUGAUUACUUCUAUUAUCCAGAACUUUGCAUAGAAGAUACGAGGGAACCAACUAAGCUCGGCAGCAAUAAGUAUUAUCCUAGUUAUAUGAUCUCAUACAUUGAGGAAAAAACUUCCCAUUACAAGUGAAUCCAAACAUGGCAUCAGAAGCCAGUGCAUCGCAUGCUUCCACUGCUGAAUCAUCUGAGAAUCCACACAUCAAUCCACCAACCAAUGUGCCUAGAUCCACAUCUGCUCCACCACAGAAACCUCCGAUCGCAGCUCCGAUUGCAGCUCCGGCAAACAAUCUGCCGUUCAAUGCCACUCUCGCUCCUCUGAAUCUGAGAUUAGAUCGAACCAAUUACUCCUACUAGAGAUCUCUAGCUCUUCCAGUCACUCGUGCACACAAUCUGCAUGGAAUCCUCGUUGGAACCAUUCCAUGUCCACCAGAACUUCUUGAAGAUAUGACUAAUCCUAAUCCCGCUUUUGAACAUUGGAUGCGUUGUGAUCAAUUCCUUAUAAAUUGGCUUAUGAACUCACUUUUUGAACCUAUGACCAGACACAUUCUUCGCUGUGAAUUUUCUCGUGAGAUUUGCUCUGUCUUUGAGAGAAUGAUUGUUGUUCGAUCAAAUGAUCGUGCUUUCCAACUCUGUUUCUUCAAAUGCUCAAGAAAGGCUCUA